rnacentral:rRNA from 1 species
AUUGAACGCUGGCGGCAGGCUUAACACAUGCAAGUCGAGCGGAGAUGAGGUGCUUGCACCUUAUCUUAGCGGCGGACGGGUGAGUAAUGCUUAGGAAUCUGCCUAUUAGUGGGGGACAACAUUCCGAAAGGAAUGCUAAUACCGCAUACGUCCUACGGGAGAAAGCAGGGGAUCUUCGGACCUUGCGCUAAUAGAUGAGCCUAAGUCGGAUUAGCUAGUUGGUGGGGUAAAGGCCUACCAAGGCGACCAUCUGUAGCGGGUCUGAGAGGAAGAUCCGCCCCAAUGGGACUGAGACACGGCCCAGACUUCUACGGGAGGCAGCAGUGGGGAAUAUUGGACAAUGGGGGGAACCCUGAUCCAGCCAUGCCGCGUGUGUGAAGAAGGCCUUAUGGUUGUAAAGCACUUUAGGCGAGGAGGAGGCUACUGAGACUAAUACUCUUGGAUAGUGGACGUUACUCGCAGAAUAAGCACCGGCUAACUCUGUGCCAGCAGCCGCCGUAAUAC